rnacentral:rRNA from 1 species
UACGGGGGGAGCAAGCGUUGUUCGGAUUUACUGGGCGUAAAGGGCUCGUAGGCGGCCAACUAAGUCAGACGUGAAAUCCCCAGGCUUAACCUGGGAACUGCGUCUGAUACUGGAUGGCUUGAAUCCGGGAGAGGGAUGCAGAAUUCCAGGUGUAGCGGUGAAAUGCGUAGAUAUCUGGAGGAAUACCGGUGGCGAAGGCGGCUCACUGGCUCGGUACUGACGCUGAGGUGCGAAAGCGUGGGGAGCAAACAGGG